GAUGAACGCUAGCUACAGGCUUAACACAUGCAAGUCGAGGGGCAGCAUGGUCUUAGCUUGCUAAGGCCGAUGGCGACCGGCGCACGGGUGAGUAACACGUAUCCAACCUGCCGUCUACUCUUGGACAGCCUUCUGAAAGGAAGAUUAAUACAAGAUGGCAUCAUGAGUCCACAUGUUCACAUGAUUAAAGGUAUUCCGGUAGACGAUGGGGAUGCGUUCCAUUAGAUAGUAGGCGGGGUAACGGCCCACCUAGUCUUCGAUGGAUAGGGGUUCUGAGAGGAAGGUCCCCCACAUUGGAACUGAGACACGGUCCAAACUCCUACGGGAGGCAGCAGUGAGGAAUAUUGGUCAAUGGGCGAGGGCCUGAACCAGCCAAGUAGCGUGAAGGAUGACUGCCCUAUGGGUUGUAAACUUCUUUUAUAAAGGAAUAAAGUCGGGUAUGGAUACCCGUUUGCAUGUACUUUAUGAAUAAGGAUCGGCUAACUCCGUGCCAGCAGCCGCGGUAAUACGGAGGAUCCGAGCGUUAUCCGGAUUUAUUGGGUUUAAAGGGAGCGUAGAUGGAUGUUUAAGUCAGUUGUGAAAGUUUGCGGCUCAACCGUAAAAUUGCAGUUGAUACUGGAUAUCUUGAGUGCAGUUGAGGCAGGCGGAAUUCGUGGUGUAGCGGUGAAAUGCUUAGAUAUCACGAAGAACUCCGAUUGCGAAGGCAGCCUGCUAAGCUGCAACUGACAUUGAGGCUCGAAAGUGUGGGUAUCAAACAGGAUUAGAUACCCUGGUAGUCCACACGGUAAACGAUGAAUACUCGCUGUUUGCGAUAUACAGCAAGCGGCCAAGCGAAAGCGUUAAGUAUUCCACCUGGGGAGUACGCCGGCAACGGUGAAACUCAAAGGAAUUGACGGGGGCCCGCACAAGCGGAGGAACAUGUGGUUUAAUUCGAUGAUACGCGAGGAACCUUACCCGGGCUUAAAUUGCAGAUGAAUUACGGUGAAAGCCGUAAGCCGCAAGGCAUCUGUGAAGGUGCUGCAUGGUUGUCGUCAGCUCGUGCCGUGAGGUGUCGGCUUAAGUGCCAUAACGAGCGCAACCCUUGUUGUCAGUUACUAACAGGUUCCGCUGAGGACUCUGACAAGACUGCCAUCGUAAGAUGUGAGGAAGGUGGGGAUGACGUCAAAUCAGCACGGCCCUUACGUCCGGGGCUACACACGUGUUACAAUGGGGGGUACAGAGGGCCGCUACCACGCGAGUGGAUGCCAAUCCCAAAAACCUCUCUCAGUUCGGACUGGAGUCUGCAACCCGACUCCACGAAGCUGGAUUCGCUAGUAAUCGCGCAUCAGCCACGGCGCGGUGAAUACGUUCCCGGGCCU
rnacentral:rRNA from 1 species